CGGCGGACGGGUGAGUAAUGCUUAGGAAUCUGCCUAUUAGUGGGGGACAACGUUUCGAAAGGAACGCUAAUACCGCAUACGUCCUACGGGAGAAAGCAGGGGAUCUUCGGACCUUGUGCUAAUAGAUGAGCCUAAGUCGGAUUAGCUAGUUGGUGGGGUAAAGGCCUACCAAGGCGACGAUCUGUAGCGGGUCUGAGAGGAUGAUCCGCCACACUGGGACUGAGACACGGCCCAGACUCCUACGGGAGGCAGCAGUGGGGAAUAUUGGACAAUGGGCGAAAGCCUGAUCCAGCCAUGCCGCGUGUGUGAAGAAGGCCUUUUGGUUGUAAAGCACUUUAAGCGAGGAGGAGGAGCUUCAGGUUAAUACCCUGGAUGCUUGGACGUUACUCGCAGAAUAAGCACCGGCUAACUCUGUGCCAGCAGCCGCGGUAAUACAGAGGGUGCAAGCGUUAAUCGGAUUUACUGGGCGUAAAGCGUGCGUAGGCGGCUAAUUAAGUCAAAUGUG
rnacentral:rRNA from 1 species